AAAAAUCAUUGUGUAAGCAAUUCUGCCAAACAUGUAUUUAUCUACCCGAGCAAAUUUUAAACAAUUCCAUAGCUUGUGGACAUCUGACCUCAACAUUUCUGCAAAUUGCUAGGCCAUGUCCAAUUUCUUGCUCCUACAUUUUUUAUUAUCUUGUCUUGCCCAUGUUUUCAGGGUUGAAUUUGUUUUUCCUGUAAAUUUAUAUUGCUUGUGUUCCUAGGAUUGUUCUCUCAAACUAAUAUUUCAACUAAAGCUGAUGGUUUAAAAGAUGGCAAGGCAUACAGGAGAAUCUUUGAAGCUUGUGUAAUCAAGUAAUUGAAAACAAAUGGCGUUAUUUUUUUUUUUCUCCAAGGGCUCAACUCUAGCUACUAUUUUCAGUGAUUUAAUCUUCAUCCUGUUAUGUCACCUCUCACAGAUUGCCUGCAAAACACAGGCUUGCCAAAGGCACAUGAACAUUGCAGCUGCCUGUUUUCUGAUGAGUUGUAAAGCAGUAUUAAGCAGCUUUUUUACCCCCUUCUCUUUUAUGCUAAGAAUCUAAGGUUGUGCUGCCUUGACUGUAAUCAUCCUCCCAUGACCUACACAUUUAAAUGUCUCUAGACAAGUAACCUCUUCUCUCUGAAUUUCAACUAUCUUAUCCAUUGAAUGUGGACAAUAAGAUCACACUUAGAGAAUUGUUGCAAUAACAUGCAUGAAGCACAAAUUGAUAAUUAUUCCCCAUUAUCUAUUCUUCUUUUUAAUAAUUAAGCUUCUGGGUUUCAGCUGAGCACACAGUGUCCCAGCUAAAGACUGUAUUUUCCAGCCUCCCUUGCAAUUAGCUAAGCCCCUGUGACUAAGUUCCAGCCAGUGAUCUGUAAUACGAGUGCUGUUCAAUUCCUGGGUGGUGUUCUUAAAAGGAAGUUUCUUUUUCGGUCUGUCCUCUUUCCUUGUUCACAUAGGCUGGGAAGUUUACAUGAUGUUGGUGAAAUAACUUUGCAAGCAAAUAAGGGAAUAUCAUGAAAGAUGACGGAGAAACAAGAGAGAAGGAAUCUGAGUGCCUAUAAAAUCUCAUGGAGUUGGGACCCUAAACUACCUUUUAUAGUGAAAUUUCACAUAAGAAAAAAACAGACCCUUCUAUCUUAAAGAGUCAAACGAAAAUCCUAAGUUUAUCAGUGUAUAAAGCAUGUAGUACAGAUAUUAUAGGUAGAACAUAAUACAUUAGUCUAUUAUCUCUCCCCCCUUGUUUAGAACAGUGGUUCUGAGCCUGCACAGAAGACUCUCAAACCCUGGUUCCAUGAUAUUCUUCCAAACCCAGACAUUCUUUGCAAAUAAGAGUCACACAGUAGUACAAGAUGAAAACCUGGAGUUUAACUAACUUGCCCAAGACUACACAGCCAGUAGGAAUUAAAAGAAGAUUAGAACUGAGGUUUAUAUGAUAUCUGCUCAUGGACACCCAACAAUAACUUUAUACCCUUCCUCAGUUGGCUGAGAAGGUAAAACAAAGUAAAAUUGUUGAGCAACUACUAUGUGCUUUUACUGUGCUAGGCACAGAAUGUAAUACAAAUCAUUACUUCUGGUCCUUACUAUUUAAAGGGAAAAGAAGAAUACAUACAUAAACACUCAAUUGGGGGAGAAAUAGGAAAUGAUUAAA
rnacentral:lncRNA from 1 species